AGUGAACGCUGGCGGUAGGCCUAACACAUGCAAGUCGAACGACAGCAUAGUAAGAUUUUGCUCUUACGGUUGGCGAGUGGCGGAUGGGUGAGAAAUGCAUAGGCAUCUACUUUUUCGUGGGGGAUUACGGAAGGCAGCGUACACUACUAACGAAUAUGUCCAACGGCUGAAUGCAGGGGUUAUUAGGACCUUUCGCGUUUCUAUGAGCUGGUGCCGCAUUAGCUAGUUGGCUGGGUAACGGCCUACCAAGGCAACGAUCCGUAGCUGGUCUGAGAGGAUGAUCGGCCACACUGGAACUGAGACACGGUCCAGACUCCUACGGGAGGCAGCAGUAGGGAAUAUUGCGCAAUGGGCGCAAGCCUGACCGAGCCAUGCCGCGUGAGUGAUGAAGGCCUUCGGAUCGUAAAACUCUGUUAUUAGGGAAGAAAAGCAGUGUAAUAAAACCCCGAUGUUCUGACGGUACCCAAUGAGUAAGCAACGGCUAACUUCGUG
rnacentral:rRNA from 1 species